UGAGCUAAGUGAGACCCUAUGUUCAAA
rnacentral:piRNA from 1 species